UUGGGAGAAUGGGUUGACAGCAAUGGAGUGUGCCUUGCACCUGGAAAAGAAUGUGAACCAGUCACUCCUUGACCUGCACAAGCUGGCAACUGAGAAGAAUGACCCUCAUUUGUGUGACUUCAUUGAAACUCUCUACCUGGAUGAGCAGGAGUUC